rfam:Chryseobacterium gambrini strain DSM 18014 genome assembly, contig: Ga0111674_105
GAAACAGUAGUUUAAUCUGGAAAAGCACUCCGAACCCAGGAGGGUUGCAGGUUCGAAUCCUGCCUGUUUCU